rnacentral:sRNA from 1 species
UCAUGUUAUAUUUAUGUGUUCGAGGGU